UACGUAGGGGGCAAGCGUUGUCCGGAAUUAUUGGGCGUAAAGAGCUCGUAGGCGGUCUGUCGCGUCGGCUGUGAAAACCCGGGGCUCAACCCCGGGCCUGCAGUCGAUACGGGCAGACUAGAGUGCGGUAGGGGAGACUGGAAUUCCUGGUGUAGCGGUGAAAUGCGCAGAUAUCGGGAGGAACACCUAUGGCGAAGGCAGCUCGCUGGGACGUUACUGACGCUGAGACGCGAAAGCGUGGGGAGCGAACAGG
rnacentral:rRNA from 1 species